CCCCGCAUUUCCCGCCCUCCACCUGCGGAGUCCGGAACCGGCCCGCGGGUCCGCCUUUCCCAUCCCGGGUUCAGCCCCGAAAGCCAAAAAGAGUUCAGGCCGAGUCUCCGGCCCGCGGGAGGCCUGGAGGCGCCGCGAAGGCGGCUUGUCGCCUGGGAACGAUGCUGACGCCCGGCGCCACGAUCUCGGUCCCCCGGACGUGCCGAGGGUCGUGCGUCCAGGUUACUCCUGCGUCGCGUUCGAGCAGCCGGUGGCCCUUUCUCCUGGAAAGUCCACCUGAGCCUCAGAAUUACUGAUCAUCGCGCAGAUGAAGGAAGUGAAGCGCAGAGAACGUCAGGGACUUGGCCUCUGGCCUCGAACGCUGAAGAGCCCGAGGCCAACUCAGCUGGUUACCCCUCCCAAGCUUGCAGCAACGGCCCUGCGCCUGGUCUAGAGAUAGGAGGGGCCCUCUCCAGUACUGCAGGGGUUCUGGAAAGUACCUGCUGACUUACGGGGGUGCCUGCUCCCCGGACGCGUCUGCACAUCUUGUAGCGUGCAUAGAAAUCGGAAGCACACAAUCAGUUCAUAGGUUCUUAUUUUCAAGAUCUCGCACCUCGCAGAACUCGAGAACCUCCAUGGCGCAUCCUCAUGGUUUAUUCCUCGACAGGAAGCGGAUUGGGCCAAAGCUGGGCGACUGCCCCAACGCUCCAGCCCGAGGCUGGCCGGCGCUCCUGGCGCCAUCUGCUGGCGGCUUCCUUGAACUACAUCAGACAGCCCUGGGGCCUGGUGGGUUGCUAAGGCCUUGGGGGACAGACAGGGUCACCCGUUUGACAAAGGGAAGAGAAGAAAGAGAAGGGCGGUCUUGAGGCACAGAGGGAGCGGGAGGAGUGGGCGUCGGUGUGAGACGGCGGAGGGAGCCCCUGCUUUAGCCAUUGCGCUGUGAUUCCCAGGUUGAUAGGCUUUGACUUUGUAUUAAAUUUGACUCUGGGGCGAGGGCCCCCAGCGGUGCAACGCUGACCGGCAGGGAUCCGCAGGGGGCUUGUAUUACGGUUUUGUCUCUGGCAUGGAUGUCAUAAUUGUUUGAGUUAAUUUUUGCAUAGGAUGUGAGUUAAGUUUUGUUUUUAAAGGUGUGCUUUCCCAAUGUUUCCAGUACUAUUUGUUGAAAAUAUUUUCUUCAUUGUAUUGCUUUGACACCUUGGUAAAAAGUCACUUGUCCAAUCU
rnacentral:lncRNA from 1 species